UGGUCCCUGGCAGCUGUUUUUGGAGUGCAGCUGAAAGAAAGAAAGAAAGAAACAAACCCGGUCAAGAAUUACCAACAUGGCGACGAUAAUUCCUACAAAUACUGAGUGAUGUAGUGGAUGGCUGGAAAGAAGAGAGGCAGCUUGAUGGACGAAGCGGCAGCUUCUGGUGCUACCGGCCUCACCAUCUCUCUCCUAAGCGCCCUCACUUCACUCCCCAGAUUGUCGUGCUGUUUUCCUUGGGGGGGGUGGUGCCUCGUCAUCAGUGUCCACACCUUGAAGCAUAUUUAACUCUAAAGGUCUGCACCUUCAAAAAAGUGUUGCGGCGGGCCCGUAGUGGUCUGGACUCUUCCAGCUGGCUCCUGCAGGUAGCGUGAGUUUGGCCUUUGGAACAAAUCAAGGACAGUCAUGGCAGUCAGUGGGUAACACCAGAAAUAUUAACAGAGAACAUAUACAUUUAUGCAUUUAGCAGAUGCUUUGAGCUGAAGCGAUUUACAACAAGAGGACUAACAUUUAAGCUACAACACUAUUUAAAACCUUGCUAAGAGUGCCAAAAAGUGCCACUAGUCACCCGAAAACUGUCUGAAGUUUAAGUGCAAUAGAAAGAUGGAAGAGAGUGCAUUGAAAGUUAAAAAGUGUUAGGACAAGAGUCAUUCUAGGAAGAACUGAGUUUUCAGGAGCUUUUCGAAGGUAGUGAGGGAUGAUAAGUUGCCUGUGGAUGGUUCAGAGAACUGCCUGCUAUUAGCAGCCACUUUGUCAGUAAAGAAUGAAGCAUAAGGUUCUGCUGUGAGGUUUGUAGCAAGAGGGGAAAGGUUUAGUAGAUAUUUGAAAGUAGAGAACAGUUUCCGGGUGUCAGUUGUAUUGUGAAUCUCAGUUGUAAUGUGAAUUUUUCGCUGCUGUGACAUUGUAAGCAAAAGAUGAUAAUAGUUACUGGUAUUGUGUUAAAUCUGAUAGGUUAUUAGUUUUAUGCCAUUCUCUCUCAGCAGCCCAUGAGGUUAGAGCGCAUCGAUUGAAGGGAGUCGUUUAUCCAAGGAAGGGGCUUAGAGGGUUGGGAGGGUCUGAUGGAUAGCGGGAAUGUGUGGCCCAAUUCACCUCUGGAGAGGAGAACAUUUUUUGUUUUUUUACCUUUUUUUCCUUCUGAUAGGGUCUUCAGCCUCUGACUGUAUGUCUGAUGUUAAACACACUAACCAAGACCCUCACGUCACCGUGCACGUCCCACGCUGCACCUGGAGGAAGGUGGUGCGCGACUGCCUUCUGGAGGCGGUUAUGAUCGUAAGAACUAGGAGGCCAGAAACAAUUCCAUGACUCCCCUGCCUCCUCCAACCAGCUGCUUGGCACUAUGAAGACAAGGAAUUAGGAUUGGUGAAGAAGAGGGAUGGCAACAUAAUGGUUUUGGUCUGGAAAAAGCACACAUUUUCUGCUGACAUCCCCAAGGAGCUCAACCUCAAGAUCAUCUACCAACGUAUGGACCUGAAAACAGCCUAUUCGAGAGGAGGGGCAGGGAUAUGUGAAAUGGGAUUCCUUGUACCCAAAUCGUCUGUAGAUGAUGAAGACUGAACCAGAGGAUAGCACAAUGUUUUGGACCAGUCCAAUAUCCUGUCCUACUGCUAUGCAGUUGUUCCCAGUCUUUGUUGACAGGCAGAAAUCUGUUGUUACUACCUUUCUGUACUGUUUGGCAGUACUGAAUUGCAGAGGCAAAGGACCAUCCUUGUGCAUUUCGUACAAAAGGGGCUGCUUACUUGGAGGUGGAGUAACAGUUUGAGGCACCUCUGACAGUCUCUUGACUACCUGUUGUAAUGGUAGUUGAGGC